rnacentral:lncRNA from 1 species
UUAUAGUUCAUAUGGAAUGGACCGUACUCGGGAGGCAAAGAGUUGAUGAUAAAUUGUACCAGAAAGUUCUCAUCCACAGUCAUCCCAAGAGUCUUAAGUCUUGCUGCAAUGUUACUCAUUUCAGUAACAUGCUCAUACAUGGUACGAGAACCAUCAAAUUUCAUGGUGGUUAAGGUACUCAUCAGUGUGCCAGCAAGUGAUUUGUCAGCUGUUUGGGAACGUUCUUCCACAAACUUCAUAUAUUCCUUAGCAUUCUCAGUUUUAUGGAUAGUAGACUUGAUAUUCUUUG